rnacentral:rRNA from 1 species
GUGACUGGCGUAAAGAGUGCGUAGGCGGCGCGUCAAGCGAGUAAUGAAAUUUAUCGGCUCAACUGGUAAACUAUUAUUCGAACUGGCGUGCUCGAGAGUAUCAGAGGUCGCUGGAAUUUUCUUGUGUAGCAGUGAAAUGCGUAGAUAUAAGAAGGAACACCAAUGGCGUAGGCAGGCGACUGGGAUAUUUCUGACGCUAAGGCACGAAAGCGUGGGGAGCGAACCGGAUUAGAUACCCGGGUAGUCCACGCCGUAAACGAUGAAUGUUAACUGUCGGGGGUAUCGACCCCUUCGGUAGUAAAGCUAACGCGUUAAACAUUCCGCCUGUGGAGUACGGCCGCAAGGCUAAAACAUAAAGGAAUUGACGGGGACCCGCACAAGCGGUGGAGCGUGUUCUUUAAUUCGAUGCUAAACGAAGAACCUUACCCAGGCUUGACAUCCUCUGAAUUACUCCGAAAGGAGUGAGUGCUUUAUUGAACAGAGUGACAGAUCUUGCAUGGCCGUCGCCAGCUCGUGUCGUGAGAUGUAUGGUUAAGUCCAUCAACGAGCGCAACCCUUAUCGUUAGUUGUAUUUUUCUAGCGAGACUGCCUCUGUAAGGAGGAGGAAGGAGGGGAUGAUGUCAGGUCAGUAUUAGUCUUACGUCUGGGGCUAGAAACGCGCUACAAUGGUCAGUACAACGGGCAGCGAAACAGCAAUGUGAAGCAAACCCCAUCAAAACUGAUCCCAGUUCGGACUGAGGGCUGAAACUCGCCCUCACGAAGUCGGAAUCGCUAGUAAUCGCAGAUCAGCACGCUGCGGUGAAUACGUUCCCGGGUCUUGUACACACCGCCCGUCAAACCAUGAAAGUCAGGAGCACCCGACGCCCGAAUUUAUUCGG